AUAAAGAGUACUCAGGGGCAAAUCACUCUACUAGAAUAAUCAGCGGAAAAUGUCAACAAAAGCAAAGUUAACAUUUGCAGCAUCAGCUGUUACUUGUUUCGGGAUAAUUUCAUACGUACACGUUGUCCAUCAGUUAGAGCGAGAUGAUGUAAAGACAGGUGUAAAGAUGGAGUUGGAAAAACAAGAGAAGAAGAAACAAAACCUGUUAAUGUUGGAAGAACAAAAGAAACUUACAGAUAUGCUGCAGAACGCUGAAAAGAACCAGCAGUCUUGAUACAUCUUGUUUGAUAUACGGAAGAAACAGAACCUGAAGUCUUUCAGUAUGGCUUGGCUUCGUAAAGUGGUACAUAUAAAGACUCAAGUGUUUGGAUUUAGUGUGUUUCAUUUUGAACAGAAAUUUUCAAAGUUACCGUAACUUCAUCUAGACAAUAUCUGCUCAUCUUAUUCACUCAGUGGAUAUUCAACCCAGCAAUUAUGCGAUAGUCUCUAGUUUCCUUAUUUUAUGCAGUCCUUUGUUCUUUGAUUUUAUCAGUUGUUACAUUUUGAUUUUUCAGGUAUUAUUUAAUAUCAUGUGCACUGGUGAUCACACAAUUUGAAAUAUUAGUGUUUUAUGUUUUGAUAAUAUAAUUAUUUUGAAAUACUUCAGAUUUUUUUUCAUAAUUAAGUUUAAUACUAC